rnacentral:lncRNA from 1 species
ACCACAUUUAACUUCUAAUUGCAUCUAGAUGGUCAUAUGUGAUCUUCAACAAUCGUUUUGUAUUUCGAUCAUACUUUGUCUAUAUUUCACCAUUUCCUUGUUCAUUGUCUCCAAUUCCAUCAAAUUCAUUGAUCUUUAUUUAACAAACACAAUAUAUAUAGAAUUAAGUCAUAAUUUAUUGAAAUAUCCAACAGAUACCCUAAUUUAAAGACCUAAAUAAGUGUAACAUAAUGCACUUAUCACUAGGCUUUUU